UUUAAACUUUCAGCGGUGGAUGUCUUGGCUCACACAACGAUGAAGGACGCAGCGAAGUGCGAUAAGCAUUGUGACUUGCAGACUUCUGCGAAUCAACAGAUUUCUGAACGUAUUAGACACACCACCUCUGCUUGCACGUGGUACUCCCAUUUCAGUGAACCUCAAAUUCCU
rnacentral:rRNA from 1 species